rnacentral:rRNA from 1 species
UACAGAGGGUGCGAGCGUUAAUCGGAAUGACUGGGCGUAAAGGGCGCGUAGGUGGUUGGAUGAGUUGGAUGUGAAAUUCCCGGGCUUAACCUGGGAGGGUCAUCCAAUACUGUUUGACUAGAGUAUGGUAGAGGGAAGUGGAAUUUCCGGUGUAGCGGUUAAAUGCGUAGAUAUCGGAAGGAACACUGGUGGCGAAGGCGACUUCCUGGACUAAUACUGACACUGAGGCGCGAAAGCGUGGGGAGCAAACAGG